CUGUAUUAAACGUAGCACUUCCUCGUCCUCUGGAGCGCUCGGGUCCUGAGAACGGCUGUAAAGUAUGCGAGUGAAGAUUCUCCCACAUUGCAGAGGUUGCGGAGAGGUCGUGACCUCUGAGGGGAAAGGGGUCAAGAGCGGGCACUCCUCUCCACCUACCGGGCGCAAAACUUUUAAUCAAGCGCCCGUCAAUCACGCUGGAAUUUCACUGCAAGCUUGCACAGAUGGGAUUCGGUUCCCUUUCUGGUGCUCUUGUGUGUGUGUGUGUGUGUGUGUGUGUUUCGCAGUGAGUAAUACACUGUGUUCAGGUCACUGCUGGUGGAAACCGUCGUUCCAAAUGAUGCUUAUCCGCCUGCGUGUUAAAAGUCUGCUGCGUUACGGCAUUGCACGGUAUUGCAUCAUGGAAUCAGGAUGCAUUUGGGGCAGGAUGUGUCUUUCUCAAACGCUUCAAAUAAGAAUAAAAAAACCCCCGGCUGAAACGUUCGUACGUCGAGGUUCGGAUUCGGAGCGUUAUUAUUUGCCGUCGUUAUUAUUCGAAUUCUCCUCUUGGAUGAAUUUGGCGACGACGAGAUGUUUUUCACCUCGUUAAAAAGUGACGCUUUUUAUCCAUUUAUAGUUACGUUUAAUGUUGCGGAACAGCCCUGAAACGAGUUCUGGCGUUAAUAAUAAUAAUAAUAAUAAUAAUAAUAAUAAAAAACAACAACAGCUAGUCACGUUACCAAGAAACCGCAACGUGUAAGACUUUCCUGUAAAGUCAAAGCUUUACGCGCUGACACUGGAGACUCCUUCCGUAAGUGCUGCAUAAACACCUCCUCUCAGAACACUUCACACUACCGGCGAUUGCACGCGUUUUUUUUUUUAUCAGUUCAUGUGAACGAGCUGUUGCUAUAGAAAUGAUAACGUGUUUGGAUGAGCGUGUUGAUAUAAACCUGUCAGAGCUGCUGCUCUAGGGAAUUAAUCAACACCUCCUGACCAAUCAGAUUCCCAGAUCCCAGGGCUGGCGCGUUGUAUGGAAUGGUCACGUGUUCGAUACGAGUCCUGAAAAUAGGAUCCUUGUUGUUUCUUAUCGACAUUCUUUCCAUUCUUUCCGUUCCUUUUGCUCAUCCCUCUCAUCUCGUCGCUCCAGGCCGUCCGCGUUUGAAGUGGUCAGCGUCAGCGGUCAGUCCUCUUUCAGCUCGUCUCUUGUGGAGGGCCGGGCGGAGGAGUGUGUGCUGGAGUGGCACUCGGCUCGUCCGCUCGGCUCGUCCCCUCCGCCGCCUCUUUGAUGCCUUUAUUCGGCGCUGAUGCUCAUUCAGCCGUUAGUCGAGUGGGUGGUGAUUGUUAAGAGGCUCUCAGAGAGGCGAUGCCAGUCCUCCUGCCCACUCCCCGCCUCCCUGCCUCGCCCCCCUCCCCGGGGGGGUGGCCUCUUACUCCGCGCAUCCUUUCAAGUGCGCUUCGAGGCGGGAGGAGGAAGAGCUGGAGCACGCACUGCCUUUCUCUUUUGUUUUAGUUGAUGUUGUUGUUGGUGUCAGUGUCACUUGUAGAGGGUGAAAAGAGUGUGUAGGUUGAUUCGCAUUCAUUCAUUCACUCACUCACACACACACACACACACACACACACACACACACCAGCCUCCCAUUCAUUAAAGUUCAUUCGCAUUCCACUGGAGGCAUUGAAGUUUUCUCAUUCAUGAAGCUUCAGCAUCCUGUAGAGCUCAGCAGGACAUGUAUCCUUGUAUGUAAAUAAGCACACACACACACACACACACACACACACACACACACACACACACACACAUACAGAUCUAAUAUAAUACACAAAGACACACCCACACCCUAGGGUUUGUUUCAAUCUCUGCAUGGGAGACAGCCACCUUACUGCAACAAAAGACGUCACUGACAUCGACUUUCCUACAGGAAAUGGAUUAUAUAAGGAGCGUCACGGUCAUUUUGUCCGAGCGGAUCUUUUGAUCUGGGGCGUGCGAGUGUGCGAAGGACGUAUAUAGUGAGCACUCGUCCUGAUCUCACCAGGUUUUUUCACCGAGAGUAAAAUAAACUUUAUUUACUUUUGCGGUCGUCUCAAAUACAAUAGAAUGCAACACAGUGCAAUAGUAUACAAGCGUAGAUAGGAGUGUGUGUGUGUGUGUGUGUGUGUGUGAGAGAGAGAGAUCAAAGUAAGGUAGCUUCAGUAAGGUACACAGACAUUAUUAGGCAGAUUGGCUCUUUUAUAGUGUAAAUGGUUUCUCGGGCAGCUGGUCUGUGACGUCCGUGUUGAACUCGUCCGCUCCCGUUUCCUCUCAGCCGCGGCGUAACGGACGCUUUAUCGUCGCCUUGCGCGUUUGUCGUCUUUGGGUUUUUCCUCUCCGGCCCUACAGACAUCCUGCUGCGUUUCCCAGAGUAUCAUGACAGCUCUUUAGCAUUUCCUUUACUGCGAGGAGACGGAAAGAGACAGAAACGAGGUGGUCGAGAUGCGCAGCCGGGGGUCGGAGGGUUGUGAGUUUAACGCUCCGGCCACACGCAUGCACGUAUUUCUGAAAACUCUGUGUUUUCACACACACGCACAAAACCUCUCUUGGUAUUCUGUCGUAAACUGUAAACACGUUAUCAAGUGAGAACACAUUUUUGAAAACAUUGUUUGACCCAAAGUGUUGACAAAAUGCAGCGAAAAAACCCCACGUUCUCAAAAAUAUCUGUCUACAUGUGGGCGGGGCCUGCGUCAGGUAUUACUAUGUAUCCUCCUUAGUUUUUUUUCUUCUAUGGAUUUGUACCUACAAUGUUAAUAUACUAUAGCUAGUUAGUUUUAUUAAUAUAUUAUAUUAUAUACCUAGUUUUUUAUAUUAUAGGGUUUUUUAAAAAAAAUAAUAAACAUAUCAAUCAAAAGUGAGCUGUAAUAUCACUCGAGUCGCCUCUAAUGCACAGUUCCCGCCUUCAAACUUCUUUAGGCCACACCUCCUGCCUGAGACUGUGUGUGUAUGUGUAUGUGUGUGUGUGUGUGUGUGUGUGUGUUGGGCAGAACUAAUUCCCUGGGUAAUUAAUCACCUGUGCCUGUCAGUCCCGGUAAAGGAGGCGUGGCUUGUCCUAGUUUUGAGCAGUUCGUCUGAGAUUUACAGGCUUUUCACGUGUGGUUUUGACCACCGUGUGAAUUUCGACACUCGAACCCAAAAGAAAUCUUUCAGCCCUGGAAACCGGGGAAGAAAAACCCCUCGGGCAGACGUCAGUACAAUGUUCUGUGUCAGGUUAAACGGACAUAACGGUCAAAAUAAAGUAAACCGCAGUGGUGCCGUAGUUCUACUGCAGUAACGCCGCUUCCUCUAAUCCGUAAUUCAGCCCUUAUUGCUUUAGACACCGGGAUCCAUUUCCUCGUUGAGACGUUUAGAAACGUCUGUCAGUCCUCAUCGGGUUCCUGGUUGUGCCCCGAGGACUUUGGCGGCGUGUUUGGCGUUAAGGUGGGGAUUGCGUAAGCCGCGGCGGCUCCAAAAAACGCCGCCGAAGUCACAGAAAGAAUCGUUUCAGUCGCUGCUAAUCGGGGCUGAGUUGUGAGCUAAAGUGCGUGUGUGUGUGAGGAGGUGAGAGAGUGAGACCACUGUGUGGAUUCGGGUUCUUGCGGUUUGAAGUUUCACUCGCUGCUCGGAAAGCUUUUACGACGGUCUUUAACGAUGUAAGACAAACCGCACGUUCCACAAAUCGUAGACCAAAUCGUGUAACUCGGAGGAAAGUCCUCGCGUAUACACCCAGACACCACAGCACUCUCGUUACACAGCGUUCCUCAGAGGUGCUUUCACUGCUUAAACUCUUCUUUAAGAGCUUCCUGUCUGUUGCGCGGCUCCGUUGUGCCCGAGAAACCAACCCAAGCGUGGUACCUUCUUAGAUUUCUGAAGGAUUUAACAUGCAGGAACGAAAGACAACAAAAAAGGGUUCCGGGAGAACUUUUUCUGUGAUACUCGCCCUCACACAGUUCUGUGCUUGAGCUCGUCUCCUGCUUGCUCUCUCAUUAGCAUCGUACUCCGUUUGCACUGGUAUGGUACCAGUGCUGGUUCUGAGUUCAGCACCAAAUCUCGCCAGACUCCGGCGCUCUCGGUUUCCGUAAACAUCGGCGUUCACCGUACAAGUCCCUGUGAGCGAGCCGUCACUAUAGAGACGAUGACGUAUUCAAACAAGCGCGCUAGAAUGAAAUGGAAAGAUCUGUCAUUCCCACAUCUGAUCACGUUGAAGUUCGGCUCCUGACGUGAUGAAAAGCGGGUCGGUUCUGAACCCGAGAGCCUGGAGUUAAACCUCGACUGCUCUGCUCUGUUCUUGGAGAGGAUUUGUUUGCAAUAAAAGUUUCUGCCAAAUGAAUAAACACGAAGAUAAAACGCCAGACUGUGAGAACGAACUGUUGUUCGUUCUUUUAAGGAAUUCCAGCACGGUUCUGAGUGACGGCAGCACCCGGGUCGAUUCUGGGCCUCGUGAUUUAUGACAUUUCAUUAAACAUUUGCAUGCACGUCGGCCAAAUCCAACACCUUCCUUCCCUCAUCUCGGCCACGUUCUCUCUGCCAGAGAAAGAUGUGUGAAAAUGAUCAAACCGAACAGGAAACCUGUCCACCGGAGGGAAUAUAAGGGAGUUAGAACCUGGUACUGGGAAUCGUUUGAUCUUUUCUGAUGGAGGUCGUUGAUGUCUUUUAAAUCUUUAAGCUGACAUUUUAUCCACUCGCAAUUCCUGCAGGGGAAAUGAUUCCCCGUCUCAUCUCCCCGUCACCUUUCUCCUCCGUCCGAGUCCGAACGCAUCACGUCUGCGUCUGCGUCUCCACGUCUCGGCUCGAGGACUCGGAAACCGGAGCCGCGCGUCAGCUCUGGACGCCCUGAGUCCUGCGGUGCAGCUGGGUCUGCUCGUGCCAGACGCUGCCGGAUCUGCAGCACACACUCGUUUAUUAGUCUGAUCUGAAAGGGAAAUAAAAGCCCGGGCACGUUUCCAGUUUUUAACGUCUGCACGCACAAACAUCUCACGAAAUGUUGGAUAUGUUUUUUUUUGUUUUUUUGUUUUUUUAUCAAACAUGCAGGAUGAUGAUUAAAUACGGAUCGAUAUUAAACAGGUGUUUACGUUUAAUCUGCGUUCUCAUGGAUGGGGUGAGUGUUUUAUUAAAUUCAGGUGAACAUGGAGGGUAAACCAUAAUAUAAAUAUUAAAAGGGAUGUAGAAAUUCGGACAUUUUAAUAGAUCGCGAGUCUGUUUUUGUUUGUUUAUUCAGUUAUAGUGCUUGUUGCUGAAAUGUAAAACUUAAAAAAAAAAAUAUAUAUAUAUAUAUAUAUAAAUAAAUGUUGAAUUGUUAAACUAAAAACUGUAAUGAAUUUGUAUUUAUUAUCGGUGUUGGAGAUGUGAUGGUGACGGUGAUGGUGAUGAAACGCUGGAUCGGUUCCGGAUCGGAUUUUCUGCUUUAACUCUUUCACUAGUAGCUGAUACUCGGAGCGCUGAUUUUUGGAAACGUGGAGGGAAUGUAAAGCCGUAAAGAGAUUAGUGGAUAGUGAAUAGUCAUUUUUAGUUAUACUGAAGUCAGGGUGUGGUCUGAGACUGUGUGUGUGUGUGUGUGCGUGUGCGUGUGUAAGAGAGAGAGAGAUAAAGUUGCACAGUAAUCCUGUUUAAUGAAACUCAUUUCUCUGUAAUCCACUGACAACUCAAAUGAUACGCACACACACACACACACACACACACACCGCACCACCCUGUGUGUGUGUGUGUGUGUACAGUAUCUGCAUAGAACUUGUAUGAGAGGUUCCCAUAACCGUGUGUGUUUUUAACAUCUCGGUAUAAACACUGAACCUUUCCUUUCUUCCCCUCACACGUUGACGGCCGACCCGUCUGUUUCUUCCUGACCCACGACUAAAACCGGCUCCGCUUUUGGCAGCAUGAGUCUUGCUUCCCACCUGCGGCUCACCUCACACGCUCGAGUCGUAUCCUUCCAUCUUGUUUUCCGUCCUCUGAGCCUUAUUUUGUUGAAAUGUGCAUAUUCAGGAACGUGGAGGCUUCUAGUGUUUCACUGCCUCGGUGUGCGACUUCCACUGGAACGGAGUUUCACCUUUUAUAGCCGUUCGCUGGUCCUAAAUCACUCACUGUGUGUGUGUGUGUGUGUGUGUGUGUGUGUGUGAGAGAGAGAGAGAGAGAGAGAGAGAACUUAUGUUCCUGAUCUUGAUUUGAUUGAUUGAGCGCUGCAUUAACCGCUACAGAAAUUAAUUGAGCUUCUCUUCAACGUCUUGCGUCCCUCCAUUACCCCCCACCCCUCCUCCCCCCUCCCCCAGGAGGCAGCUUGCGGUCGCUUUUUCAUGAUUGGUCGAGCGACUGAAGUGUUUUGGUUGAAAUAUGGCCAGGCCGUCACUCCCUCUACCUGCCGCUUAUCUCUCUGCAGAAAUUCACGACGUGGAUCUCUGGCCCUCGCCCAGAUCAGAUUUGCAUAUCACCCUGUGUUCAGAGAGCCAGGAGCCUCGAUUCGAUCGAGAUAAAGUCGUUAAAGGUGGAAGUGGCGAGGACUGGCGUGUAAAGAUCAGAGCGGAUCGCACGCAGCUUGCAGACCAAACCCUCAGCAGCUUCUCACACGCAACAAGGGACAAACACCGUUUUUUGUUUACUUUCUCAUCAGGAAAUGCUUUUUCAGUUUUUAUCUCGUGAUAAGUGCGUGAUACGAAACAUCAUGGGUAGUCUUUCAAACCCAGAGACGUCGUAAAUCCGCCAGGUUGUACAGAUUUACACUGAGAAAAUGGCCUGUUUUUUAAAAAUUUCAUCAGACCGAAUAGUUUUCAUUUUAUAACGAAUUUAAAACCCGUUUGGGUGAAAUGAGAGAUUCUUAUCUGGCAACCCUAAAGGACGAGUUUCCACUGAUAUCAUCUUACAAAAGAACACUUCACGACCCGAUACAAGUUACGAUAUUAACUUGCUAGCUAGCUAUCUAGAGGUGAUGUAGCGUAUGUACAGUUACUGAAUCGAUAGAUUCUAAGCUAGCUAGCUAUCUAGAGGUGAUGUAGCGUAUGUACAGUUACUGAAUCGAUAGAUUCUAAGCUAGCUAGCUAUCUAGAGGUGAUGUAGCAUAUGUAUAGUUACUGAAUUGAUAGAUGAACCACUUUAUUCAAUACCAUAUUUUACCAAACGCUUUAUUUUAUACAGUAGAAUAGAUUUUAGCUAACUACCAAGUUGACUAGCUAGCUUAUUCAUUGGCAAGCUAACACAAGCUGAUGAUUUCAGUCUGAUCCUGUCUAAAAUAAUGGGGUGUAAUGUUUUGGACUGAUGCGUCAAAGUAAAAGGGAAACGUAGAAAUGAAUCGCAACAGCUUGUGUGUAAAAAUAAAUAAAUAAAUAAUCUGAUUUUUAAACUGUAAACAGGCUAGCAAGGUGAUUUACCAUUCUGUACAUCAUCAUCGUUCUUGAAUUAACGUUACUCCUACCCCAGAUUCUGAACAAAGUCGGUCACGUAUCAAUCACGUAUCGACGCAGACUCGACGUCUGAGGUUAAGAGACCUACUCUGAAUGUUACAACAAACAGAAUGAAGGGAUCGACUGUAUUUUGGGAGCACAAACCUUGCCAAAAUCUCCCUAGCAAUCUUGCGCAUGUGAAUUUUUGUGACUUAUAAUCAGUCACGGCCUCACGUCUGUCCCCGGAGCCUGUUGCUACUCGUUUUACGUUUCUGAAACGUGAAAGUCGUGUGCGUGUAAUCGUCUCGGAAAUGCCCUCGGGUUGUAUUGCGCACAGCUAGAUCUGACGUUCCAGCUUUCCCUUCAUUCCGAAGCUGCUUUAUCUCCAGCGUUUUAUUGGACUGACUGUAUAUCUAUGGCCGUUUAUGAGCCUCUCCGUAUUUGGACGCCUGAACAGGGCCAACAAUAACACGGCAUAUUAAUUGCUAACUCUCUGGCUUGCUGGCUUUGUGUGCGCUUGGCAUCGGGUGGGAAGGCCAUUAAUCUCACCCGGCGAACAAGGGGACGCUCUCAAUGGAUGCUGUUCCGCCCAUUUUAUGCUUCAUUCUCAAAACCUGGAAAGCCACUAAAGAGUGUGAGAAAGAAAGAGGUUCCUCUUAACUUGAUCUUUCCGAAGCGUGACCGGAGACCCUGAUAGAGAGAUCUUGGCAUCGGUGGACGAGGGAAGGAGUGCAUUUUACCCACUGCUGAAACCAAAUGGGGGUUUAAACGUAUUUGUGCUUGUUCUUGUACAGUUUGUGCGCUGUUUAAUCGCUUGUCACUUGAGUUUGCACCAAAGUGUUACGAAGUCUAAUGAUAGAGUGGGGUUUGUCAACAUUAAGUUGUAAGCUUAAACGCAAAGUACAGCUGGAAGACACGUCAGGCGUGGGUAUAAUGGAAUUUUGGCAUUAAAUAUGUGUUGGGGUGUACAGGGGUGCACAUUUUUGGCGUGUUGAAAAGCCAGAACCUCGAGUGUCGAUGUGGGGUUCUUCCUGGUUCUCUGGUUUCCUCCCACCUCCCAAAAACAUUGGCAGUGGUUUGGAAAAUCUCUAAAUUUCCCCUGGGUAUAAAUCCGUGUAUAGAGUGGUUACUGGAGGCCAUUUACUUUUUCACUAUGUCGAAGUUGUUAUUCUUUGAGCCCAACAGGAAAAUGGCGCCUUCGUUUUAAACGUCCUUCUUCUCACGUGUCUUUGCCCAGAGGGACUGACAGCUUUGGGUCAGGGGUCAGCCACGAGGUCACAGUUUAGGAUGUCUGCCGUGUCAGUCAAGCACGAUUGGAUGGCGUGUCUGCCAAUCAAACCCCACUGGAACGAGCUCUGACAGGUUCUCAGGAUGGAGAUUUUUAUUAAGGUAGUCUGGGGCUGGAGGAUAUUAUCGGUCUGAUCUUGACGGACGUAAAUCUGCAGGUCUGUCUUUGUUGUUUAUCUUUUACCUGUAAUGUGUGAGAAGGGUAAAGGCAAGAGCACACCACCAUGACGUUCUUCAAUCUGUGUGUGAUUGCCGAGAAAUUUUUACACUGGUUUGUUCAGUCCUUUGGGCGUGUCUGCUCCUCUGCUAAACAUUCUACAGCUAAAUCUUUUUGCUUUUCUUUUUUGGUGUGUAGGGGAAAACAUGACCUUGCCUCCAAGCCCAAGUGUGUGCAGGACAUGUGUGCACGAUGUCAUAUAAGGGUACGACUUGCUCGUGCCCCAGAGCUCACCCCACGGCUCAGAGGAUUAAUGUCAGUCUGUGCAGACAGCAGAGGAAAGAGAUUGAUUCUAUUACAGGAGCUUUCUACAGCUCGGGAACGCAGCAGGGGACUGCAGACCAAGGUAGAGAGGAAGUGACCAAAUCUUGCCCUCGGGUUGAACAUGGAGACUUGAUGCCAAGUUUGCUCAAAUAACAUCACAGACCUGCUGAAAAGGCAACGAAGCAAUUGGGAAUAUGAAAAUAGAAUAUUGUGUGUGCAUGAUUAUGGGUGUAGUGAUGCACAGAAGCACCGAUGUAUUCAUUGUAGUGUUGGGAUUUUUAAAAAAAAAUUGGGUUAGUCAGAAAAUCUGACUAGGGUUCCUCAAGGGUUCUUGGGAUGGUUUCUAAAGCUUUCUAAAGGUGUUUUGGAUCAUUAUGUGAAAAGACAAGCCAUCUGUUGUAGAGUAGGGUUCUACACCGAAUCUUCAAGGGUUCCUGCUGAUGCUACAAACCAAAUUACCAUUUAGGGCUUUCUAAAGGUGCUUUGUAACCUUUUAUGAAAGAAAAACCAUCUGUUAUAGGGUUCUAUGUAGAAUGCUUACGUGUUCCCACCAGGGGUACAAACUGUUGGACUCCUUAUGGCUUUCUCAAGAUGUUUUGGAACCUUUAAUGAAAGAGAAAUCAUCUGUUUUAGGGUUCUUUUCAAGGGUACAAACCAAAGGCCCGCUUACGGUUUCUAAAGGCACUUUGGAACCUUCCUUAAUAAAGACACCUUCUGUUGUAGGGUUCUACAUAGGAUUUUUUUAAUGGUGCCCACUGGGGGUUCAAACUGAAGGACCACUCGGGGCUUUCUAAAGGUGUUUUGGGUCAUUUUAUGAAAGAGAAGUCAUCUUUGUAGGGUUCGACAUAGAAUCGUUAAAGGGUCCGACUAGGGGUACAAACCGAAGAACCCUUAAUGGCCUUCUAAAGGUUCUUUAGAACCCUUUAUGAAAGAUAGAGUUGAAGGGUUCUCGUCAGGGAUGCAAAAUGAAGGACCGUUUAAGGCUUUUUAAAGAUGUUGUGGAAUCUUUUAUCAAAGAGAAAUCAUCUCUUCUAGGUUCUACAUAAUAUCUCUAAGGUAGUGCAAAACGAAGAACCAUAUAGGGUGCUAAAUGUGUGUAAAAAAUUAUUAUUAUUAUUAUUAUUAUUAUUAUUAUUAAAGGUUUUCCUCAAAAUUCCAGUGCAUCAUUUAACUGUUCUCAGCUUCCUAAUGAUGUACUAUUACCUGGGAACCAUCUCUGAUAUGGGUUUGCAUACGGUUAUUUAAGAAACCUUCAAUUAAUUUUACAAGUGGAGUGUAUGUUUAACGUGGUUACUAACCUGUCCAUCCAAUCCAUGUGUCUGAAGAUAAAUUCGGAGCUUUUAAAACAAGUCAACAGCACGAAACAUACUCCGAGACGUGGAAGAUAGUGAGACGUGGGAUGUCCCUCUUGGAGAAUCCCACAUAGAACCCUACAAAAAAUGUGUCAGAAAGGAUUUCACGGAUGCUACAAACCCUGAACUACCCCAAAACCUUGAAGAACCCUUUGUUUACCCUCAGAGUGUAGCACCUUCAAGAUGAGGCCAAAUUAAGCCAUGAAGUUCUGGAUGUCUGGUGGAGGAUUUGGAUGAUGAAAGCCUUGGACGGGGGAGGCAGUGGACUUGCAUGCCAAUGCUUAACUUAAAAAAAAAAAAAAAAAAAAACAGGAGGGGGAAAAAAGCUGUGGAAUUAUGGGACCACUCUAAUCUGUGCAGAUGUUUAGGAAGACGAAUGGAGCUCCGAUCUUGCCUAUGCCCUGCAAAGAACGAGGCCAAUGAACUCUUAAGUGCAUUUGGGAGUACACAUAGGAAGAGAAAUAUGGCUUGGCUGGUGUCCUAAUAUUCCACAGGGUUCUCACUAAAUUCCCAGUGUAGCGCAGAUAAAGCCCAGCGGAGUCAGGGGCUCUGGGUUACGUCUCAAUGUUUAAUCUAAGUCUCAUAUGGGAUUGAUUUUAUACGGGGUUUGGAAGCUUUGAAUUAUAGACGUCACAGUAAAUAAAAACCUCUUCACUUUUCUACGGUGUAUUUUUAAAUAAAAAAAUACAUUUUUUUGCCAAAGUUUUUUCUUUGUUUUGAAAAAUGUACGGGUAAAAUUUACCUUCACAGACAUAUUCGAAAUGAUGGAUUACAGUUUUGAAGAAAAAAAAAAAAAAAAAACCCUCUGAAUCCUAAAUACAAAUGUUCAAAUCUGCUAGCGUCCACGACGUGAAAUGAAUUGAAGAGAUGUGGAGUAGAGUCGAGUCAAAAUGGAUGAUGUAAUCUUCCACUUAGCAAGUUCAAAACAAAGAAAAAGCACUGUACAAUUUACGAAAUAAACCACAGAGAAAAGCUCAUUUUCUUUACAAAGGUCGAGAUAUAAUGCAUGAAGCAAAAGCCUAAAAUCUAGCCGGUUGCCUUUUUCCAAAGUCGUACUCUCAGUGGGGGUUUUCUGAAGGAUUUGGAAGAAAGUUGAAUGUUGAAACGUGAAUCUUUCUGUGAAACGGCACUGAAUCGUUUCGGUUCUCUCUGCUCGUUGUGCUCCGGGGGAAUGGGAGUCGGGCGUAUUGAGUGUUUUCUGGUUGGACGCAUGGCUCUGGGAAAACAAGAUGAUUUCCAACAAUUGCUAAAUGCCUCUGGGAUCUGUGUGACCCACUGUGUUCGUGUGUUUCUGAUUGAUGAACUCGCUCGAAGUGAAUUUUAUAUUGGACAGGGAUGGCAGUUUGUCCCAGUUUGCCUUGUGACCUCACAAUGGAGGCCAAUGUUGUUGUUAUUUUUUUUCUUUUUACAUCAUUACUCGGUCGUGGAAAUCGAUAGAACCUUUGGGAAAACCUUUCUAUUCUCUCUAACCGCGUCCUCUGCACAGAAACGCCGUCCUGGGAGCUUUACGACGCCACGUAUGUGUCCGAGAUCGAUUUGUCCACGGCUUCCAUGUGUCUCCGUUUCUGCUCGGAGUCUGACAGUAGUGUUUCGGAGAGCUCUGGGUAACUUCUUGUCAUCUGAGGCUUUAGUUCGGGUGAUGGAGCUUCAUUAUCUGUCUCAGACGGGCUUGUUAAGUGAGUGACACUGAAGGAACUUGCGUCUGUGUGCCUCGGACGUCUAAUCACGCAGUUGAUAAGCGUGGUAACGAUAACAGCAGAGAUAACUCUGAUGGACUUCUCUAAGUGGCUAAUAAGAGAGGCUUACGGUGUCAGGGAUGGAAAGAAGACCACCAAAGGUGUGGUGUCCGUUCAGCUUCUUGAACUAUAAAAAAAACAAAUCCUAAUCUUAAGAACAUUUUUUUUUAAUCCUUGGCUGAGAUAGAAAAAGGUCAUGGACUGAUGCAGAGAUGAUGAGGUAGAGUCUGAUUUUUGGAUGGAACAGCAAGUGUAAGAUCUGUGAUUAUCCGCUGCUUUUCUGGUGAUGUCAUCUUUAUGGAAGAUUUAAGAAAAAGCUAAAUGGAUAUAUAUUAGGAUCAAGAGUCGUGUUCGAGUGGCUGUUGUUGUUGUUGCUUCUGGGAUUUGAACUCACAACCUUAACCACUGUGGCGUAAUACUCGACCCAGUACUGUGAAGCAGGGAUGCACACCAGAGCAAACACUCUACAUUCCAAAGUUCUUUCACACCAAACUUCAGGAUGUGAAACGUGGAUUUUUCCAGACCGGACAGCUAUGCUAAGCUAACACGCUAAGCCUGCACCCUGUUGACUUGCUGUUGAUCAUCAUUAAAAUUGGCCCACUUAAGAGAAUCACUUAAGAGUGCUCAGUCGCUCACGAUCGAUCUCUGGAUUGUGUUCAUGGAGCCAAACGAGGCCAGCUGGAUGUUUUUUAUUGAUUCAGCGGUGUCAAGGGCCGAGAGCCACCUCACUUGUCCCUGCUGAACAGUCAGUCUUGUGGAUGUUCUGGUUCAUAGCCUGAACGUAUCAAAGCACAGUUAAAAAAAAAAAGCAAAACCCAACAACAAAGGUAAUUCACCCAGCAGCAGUUUGCAACACAAACGAGAAUGAAAAACGGUUCUUUUCCCGUCGUGUGGAUCACCUGCUCACCGAACACCGAGCGGUGACGAAUUGCACCAAUCUGAGGCCCCGUUUCGAGUUUAAACGCUCUCAGAUCUCCUAAGAUAACAUAACAAAUAGCAGAUUGAACCCACUAAUUGUGGCAUGUUUUUGCGGUGAAAAUGUAACAUUCUAUACCUUAUCAUUUUUUCCCCCUUCUAUUUGAAUUCAUCUCGCUAUUCAGAAGUGAGAUUCAACCUGAGGCUUAAAAGCGCCAACGCAUGACAUCAUCUAACACACGUGCGCAAACACGCGGCUUGUGGGUCGAGUGUUAAUGGCGUCCUGAGAAAAGACUGAUUACAGACUGAGUGCACGUGCUAUCAUUAUGUAUAGUGACUUGAAGUUAACGUUUCAGCCUCCUGUAGCCGGGUCUUUUCGUUUUACUGGGUACAAGGCCAUUGUACAUCUGAAAACUACUACAAGGGCAAAGGAUGCAGGAUGGAGAAACACUUCUAAUCGCGGUUACUAUGAGUCCUAGAUGCAGAACCAAAACUCCAGGGGGUGGAGCUGGACCAGAUCCAACUCCUCCUCCGAACCCUAACUUAGGAGAUGCUGUACAACACGGAACAAGAAACCCUUUGACUUGUCCACACACACCGGAUGUUUGGUCCAGCUUUACCAAGGUAGGAGGAGCUGAUCAGGUCCGACUCCACCCCCUUAACUUUUGGUCCUACAGCGAGGGGUACUUUUGCUUUGCACCAAUUUUAUCUAGCUAAUGCAUGCUAGGCUUUUCUUUUCAGCAAUGUCAGCACCAUAACAAUGGCUCAAUAAUUCACGUAGCCUUUUUGCUGACACUUCGUUAAUUUGCUUGAAAUUUCCCACACACCGAGAAGGACACAGAUCCGGAGUCUGUCUGAUAGACCUGCUCCUCUUCAGCCUGUCCCCGCUAUUAGGGACACUCUGUCUGAGAGCAGAAGCCAGAGAUAGACAGGCUUUUGUUCACACGCGCAUGAUUGUCCUCGUUCUCACUCUGCCGCUUGUCUUUGCUGUGGUCACGAUGGAAGGAGAUUACAGACCACAAGCAGCGAGCAGCUAAGUCGGCUUGACCCGGGAUACCCCCACGCUUAUCAUGUCUGCAGUGUCCUCUUCUCUCCUCUUCUCUCCUCUUCUCUUCCUGUUUCAUUCAGUGGUCAGGGAUGCUUAAGGUAUCUACUGGGAGUGUUUGUUGGAUUCGGAUGGAAACUGAGCCCCAGGUGGGUGAUGGGCGUGUCUUGUUUUCUAGUCUAGAUUUCUCUCCACCUCUUGCUUGAGGGUGUCGUGGCACUCCAGUUUCGACCGUGAUGGGGGUGACCUUGACAAGACGUUGCUAAUGUGAGACGGAGGAAAGGGGCUGGGCGUUCCAGUGGGUCAGUUAAUAUUGGAGAGUUCAGAACACCUAUGCAACUGUUAAUCAUUCAAGAUUCAAAAGUUGACUGGCUCAUGUGCUGUUUUCACGGUGGACUGAGUGAUAACUCGUAAUGGCAUAUCCUCUUAGGAUAGUUGUGUCUACUUGAACAAAAAACGGUCUAACCUGCAACCAAGUGCUAACCUGGAACUUAUGACAUUUACAAACCGUCUUCGCUUCUUAUUGGGCAGCGGUAGCUCAGUGGUUAAGAUUGGAAGGUUGCGAGUUCAAACCCCAGCAAUUCCAAGCCUCCAGUUCUGGGCCCUUACCCCUCAACCGCUCUGUUGUAGAAACCAGAUAAAUGUAAGUCACUCUGGAUAAGGACGUCUGCCAUAAAUGUAAAUGUUUUUUUUUUUAUUUAUUUUUUUUUUACAGAACCCCAAACAGAGGUAAUUCUCACCAGACUGAUCCGUACUAGUUAACCCUUCAGGAACGCCCUAGUAGAUUAAGGGUUAACACCAGGCACGCUUUCCUUUCCCAUGGGAGUGUGGUGGUGUUGACGAGGGGCUCCGUUUGUUAGCAGCUAAUCGCCUUCCUCACGGAUGAGUGGCUCCUGAAAGUGACUCAGAAAAAUGAUCGGAUGGAUGGCCCUGUUGACACGAGCGUGUGAAACCCCCCCAAAAAAAAGAAGCCCAGAGUAAUCUCACUUCCUUCCUGUUCGGUCUGGGAAACCGGGUUGAUCAUUGGUCCUCGUUGGCACCUGGCUCUUCCCCGAUAGGCCAACGGUGCAUGUCAUCCUAUCAGCUCUGUCUAUUUAGAAGGAAAAAAAAAACGAAAGAAUGUCGUGGACAGAAAAGCGCCCGAAGCCUGCCGCCCACGGGCAUGAGAGGAAAAGCUGACGCUGGGAUUUUAGAGGAAAGAUCUCACUCGAACACACAAUGGCUACCAAACAGGAAGUGGCAGAACAAUCUUUCGCCCACUCCGGCCGUGUUGUGACCUCCAGGGCUGCAGCAGCGAUAACCCGGCAUUCCUGAAACCUCGCUGGGUAGGACGCUGGGAGCUUUCUCUUGCUCCCGGGUCACCGGAGGUCACCUUCCUGCUUCUUUUACGGCUGUAAAUCAGUCGCGCUCCUUGUAUUCGUUCAGUCUACAUCAUUUAACAAAUAUUAGUCAAUGAGCUGAGAUGACGUACAAUGUGCGAGACUCCCAGUUUUACACCGGAACACUUUAACACUGUACAAGCUUUCACAGUCUUCAAAACAUUUACAAUGCAACGACAGUUUGAAUAAUUAGAUGGGAUUGCAACAACUUAAUGACGAUUUCUCACACAGCUAAAGAGCUUAUGGUUUGAAAUAAUAUAUUGGCGAAUAAAUAACGGAAUGAAAACAGCACUCAGACUUUUGGACGCUACCGUACGUCCACCCCUGGGAUGUCACAGGAUGAAGUGAAGUGUUGUAGAAACCGGGGCGAAAAAAAGCUGACCUCCUGAAAGUUCACCUCCGUGUCCUCAAUAAAACUCCCUAACGCUACGCCCCACCCCUUCCUGUUCCAGUUUCCGACUCGGCUGUACCUCGUAUCUCCCACUUUCCUCUUGUCCUUGUCAUGUUUAUUUGCGGAGGGCAUUGUGUGCUUGUUAGCCGUGAUGUAUUGUCUUCAUCCUGCUAAACAAUGCUGCCGAUUGCUUCCUGGGAAUGUUUAAGGACACGGACACAGGCGUCCUCCGUCUUGGUGCGAACUCGCAUGGCCUCGGUGUCACAAUCCGACAGCUCCAGAGGAAACGCGUGGGAUCUUGUACAGGAAAUGGACGCGAACAGGGGAGUAACGAAGACUUUGAUAACAGGAAAUGAUUCAUUCAAAAUGUCAAAACCGGUAUUAAAAGGAAUAAAAUAAUAAUUGAUGAGACACGGAAAUCAGGGAUUCCUGGCCAUGUGAAUCUAAUCAUAAGAGAGGAUCGAUGAUCCUUCACUUCAGUCUUGGAAUGAUCAAAGUCCCUGACUUUGAGACAUGGAUACGGGCGGGAUAUGGUCCUGGGGCGGCUGUGGAUCAGGUGGUAGAGCGGGUUGUCCAGUUAUCGUAGGGUUUGCGGUUCGAUUCCCGGCUCACGUGACUCCACAUACCGAAGUGUCCUUGGGCGAGACCCUGAACCCCAAGUUGCUCCCGAUGGCAAGUUAGCGCCCUGCAUGGCAGCUCUGCUCCCAUUGGUGUGUGAGUGUGUGUGUGAACGGCUGAAUGAGUGUAAAGCGCUUUGUAGAACCGCCAAGGUUAAAAAAAAAAGCGCUACAUAAAUGCAGACCAUUUACUGUAAGCUCACGUCACCUUAAGCGACACAAUGAAUAAUAAUUUGUGGCUUGUGAAAUAUUAAUAUGCGGUUUGAAUAUGUUCAUUUGUGUAACCACCAUGUCACCUCAGAUGCGUCUUCAUUUCCUUUUCAGAACGUUUCUGGUCUGAAUUCCGAACACGCGCGAUCGGAAGUGCGCGUCAUGUUUCCAGACGAUCAUAAACGAUGCUCCGUUGCAUGUCACACACUGUUAAACGAUGCUCGUUACACACUCGCGAGUGAGCAGGCGGCGUUUUCGGGGCAGUGUUUGUG
ensembl:lncRNA